CUCACCACUGAGCCACGCUGCUUCUGGGAAGGGAGUCGGCAGUGAGAUAGAUGAGAUGGAGGCACAGCAAGUAAGCUGGGUGCCAACAGAGUGGAGCGGGCAGCUUGGGCUAACGUAGGAGAUAUAGUGAGAUGAGGUAGGAUGGGGAAAACUGACCGAGUGCAUUGUACUCUCCAAGUGCUCAUUACAGUGCUCUGCCCAUAGUAAGUGCUCAGUAAAUAGUAUUGAUGAUGAUGAAUGGCCCAACACUAGACCUCACCCCAAUUUUUCCACUUCUCUCUUCCUGCCCUUCUAGCCAUCAUUCCAACCUGUCUAUGGACCAGUGGGAGAGGAGCUGGUAAAAUGCGACCACAACCGUCCAUUCUAUCCAAAUUCUCCCACCAACACUUAAUAGCAUUCUGCCAAAAGUAACACCAGAGAUGGUAUUACCCCGUCACCACAAGAGGCUAAGUAAGUAAUGGACACAGCUGUUAAAUAUUGGGCUUGAACAAAAGACUAGCACAGCAUCAGAUUCACCCAGGAGCUCAAUAUAAAAUGAAGGCAGAUGAUAAUGAUAAAAUUGAGCCCGGAACACCCACAAGAGGAGGAAAAACGGGGGAACCUUCUUUAGUCAUUCGGAUGGAAUUUGGGUGAUUUCCCAAGGAGCCCGAGAGAACACAGAUCACUCCAAAAUUUCCUGCUGGAGGAACAGCUUACCUUUCUCACCAGCUGGGCAAAGUCACUGCUGUCUCGAGGAGGGAGGCCCAGGAGAGGUCGUGUGCAGGAGUCCAGAGCUGAACCGUGGCCCACGAUUAAGACAACUCCAGCUGCAAAAGAACCGGCAAGAUUAUAAGUUCUUGAGGGCAAGGAAUGUAUCGUGCUUCUGAUAAACUCUCCCAGGUACUUAAUAUACUUCUUAUUUAGUACUCAAUAGAUGCUUAAUAGAAACCACUGAUAAUUCAACUAAUUGGUUAUGGCAAUUUUGAGGCAAAAUUAGCAAGUCUUUUGUAUGCCAUCUCCCACCCGAUGACUAAAACACUCUGUAAAUCAUUCCCUCAAAAUCUUGCUGGAGGUAGCUGAAGAAUAGUAUUGCUGUUGGAAAGAUAGAAAACCAAGGCUUGUGAGUGGGUCUAUGAGAAGCUCAGUGUCUGUGUCUCACAUACAGCCUGAUAAAAGUAAGAUAACCAAGGCUGGGCUCCUUUUUCCGAUCUAUAUCCAGGCUGAAAGACAAAGAAAUGCCAGGGCCUCCCACAGAAACCAGGGCAAGAAUGAGGUGUAAAGGUAUUAGCUCAAGCUCGUUAUGGUCACUGCUGCUUCCAAUGAAGCAUCUUGCUCUUCUUCAGUCAUCUGUUACUUGUACUGAGAUGAUUCCCAUGAGGUGGUUUUUGUAAAAGUCCUCAAUAUUCAUAACAAAGGAGCCUCAGCAUCAAAGGCACUCAUAAGUCUUCUUUUAAAAAUAAUGAUCAAGAGUGCCAAACAGAAUGGCACAGAAGAGGCUUCUGAGUGGAGGCUUCUGAGUGGAGGUUAUGGCAACAUGUGCUACACACUGAACAUGGCAAAUGCAACAAGGCAGCAGAGGACACUUAGGAAGGGGCUGACAAACUUGCAGCCAUUAUUUUGGCCACACUGGCGGGGCUGGGUAAACUUCAACUGUCUAUAUGUUCAUCUUUGAACAAGGAUGUCUCUCUCCUCUUUUUCUCUCCCUUUCUUUCUCUCUCUCCCCCUCAUUUCUCUCUUCCUUUCCUCUCUCUCUCUAUGUACACAUAUUGUCUCUACUUCUCACAAAUGCACACUCAACCAUUAUAGAAAGGAAACUCAGUUUAACAUUUAACUGACCUUCUAGGAUAUACUUUGCUGUCUGUAUGCAGCGGAGAGCAGGUGAGGAGUAAACACAGCCAAUUUUUGUUGCUUUCUCCAAGAGAGCUUCCCCUGGAAGACAAUAGGCAAACCAACCCUUUUUCAUAGGGUAACAUAACAAGUUUGUGCUAUGACCUCCUUCAUUGCUCCUAGUCAAUGCUGGACAGAAUGCCCAUGGUGUUUCAAUCAAUUGGACAGUACUGAGUAGGCAGUACACAGCCUUUCCAAAUUUCCCUCAACAGUGAAUAUGGACAGUAGUGUAAAAUCCAUUUUCAUGAUCUUGCAAUGAAAGUGUACAGUACUUCAGGAAAGUGGAAUUUAUUUGCCUUGGAAAGACAAAUUUAAGACUUGGCCCUAAGCUUCAGGGUGUGAUACAUUCUGAAGGGAAUUCAGUCUGGGGACAGGUUUUAUUUUCAGAAGGUACGUACUGGAUGAGAAGGUGUCUGCCUACUACUUCUGAUGAUGAUGAUAAUAAUAAUAAUAAUAAUAUAAUAGGGAUUAGAACCUAGGUCCUCUGACUCCUGGGCCUAUGUUAUUUCCAUUAGGCCACUAUACUUCUCAGCAUGUAAGAUGCUCCUCUGUACAUGCAAGCCAAUAAAGUUAUUGGCUUCUUUAGCUUCCUAGAAGCUCUAGAAACUUAGCUCCUUUCAAUCACCCUAAAUAGCUCCUCUCCUCCACUGCAGUCACUACUUCUUUAAUGUCCUAACUGGGCUCAAGACACUCCCAAUUCCCUUCAGGAUCACCCUUAGACACACCUGUAAGUCGGGCCUGGAAUAUACCACAGUAGGAUAAAGGAGGGUCAUUUUCAAAUUCUUUGAUGCCAUUUUUCCUUCUGGGUAGACUGCAAGGGAAAUUCAGGUCCGGUCUAAAGUAGUUUCCUGGAAUGAAAAGGAAUGCUUCACUUUUGGAUUCAAAGUAUUUUCUUUAAUUUCAACAAAUUGGUAUCACUGUUAGCCCACUAGAAUUUUUACUGCCUGCCCCCGAAUUUAGGACUUGUUUCACUAUUAUUUUAAUUAUGGUUAGAAUUCUAAAUGGGUUUGGAGCUGAGGAUGCAUUUAAAAUGAAAGUCCUGCUAGUGUUUUGCUUUUAAACCUGUCCUGAGAACAGGGAAUGUUUCCAUCUAGAAUCCACCCAAACGCCUGCCGAGAAGUUGACCUCAUUCGUAGUCCUGGAUGAGACUUCUCUCGGUUCAACUUUCUCAAUGGGGAGGGCUACCUUAAGGAGCAAAAUGUCUUCCGUGAUCAACUAACAACAUUUUUCGGUUCUCUGCUGGGCUCCUUUGGGAGACGGCAGAUUUCAAAAUAUUGAUUUGAGACGCUCUUCUCCAAGAACAGCGAUCACUGUCAGUUGGAGCAUGAGAGCCCUCUGGAAUCUUUAGUCAUCUUCCUAUUCUGACUGCCAUUAAGUAGAGAGACCUCUGCAAGACCAAGACUGCUGCCAAAUGGACUGCGCCCCUACUCCCGCCACCUCUCCAAACACAAAUUCUCAAGAAAGCCUAGCAAAGUUGCCAAGGCCAUUACAACUUCUGAGUGGAAAUGUCUCAACCUCAAAAAGCUCAAAAACACAUUGGCAAGAUGGAUAAAUGAAUAAAGUAUGCAGCCAGAAAGAUUCAAUCAGUCGCCCCCUUCUCAGGACCAAGAGCAGCUAUUCUGGAGGAGGUGGUCUUUUAGCCCAUGAGGAAAUGAAUUUGCAGUCCACUGUUCCCAUUCUUCGCACCCAACCACUGUGGCAGGCCCAAGGCUAAGCUGAAGGUGUACGUUCUGCAGCAGAAAAUACAAGAGAGAGACCAUCAUCGAGGAUGUCAGCAAGAUGGUGGGUGUUGGCGUGGGUCGCUCAGGAUGCCUCCAAGAGCAGGACCUCCCACGCCAUUCUGCAAUCAUCAGGGUCAUAUGAGCACCCAUCAAGUGUAGUGCGAAGCAGUUUCAACAAACAGCCCUGCACGCUUACAAUCUAAGACCAAGAACGAUGACAUGGGAAGGCUUAAUAAAAGGACUCACAAAAGUUUUGCAUAGGG